UACAGAGGUCCCAAGCGUUGUUCGGAUUCACUGGGCGUAAAGGGUGCGCAGGUGGGUUGGCAAGUUUGAUGUGAAAGCCCCGGGCUUAACCCGGGAAUGGCAUUGAAUACUGCUGAUCUGGAGGAUCGGAGGGGGGACUGGAAUUCUUGGUGUAGCAGUGAAAUGCGUAGAUAUCAAGAGGAACACCAGUGGCGAAGGCGGGUCUCUGGGCCGUAACUGACGCUGAGGAGCGAAAGCAUGGGGAGCGAACAGG
rnacentral:rRNA from 1 species